ACGUCAUCAAUUCAAGCUCCCUGGAGCCGACACGUGUCCCGUUUCUCCCAAAACGCAGAGCUUUAAUUCAUAUGGGCUUUGUGAUAUUGUUACUUGCUGGACUACCUUUUUCAGAAACACUUCCGUUUCCUAUUCUCUUAGCGUCGCCGAAGAUUGCUUUUUUUCUUUUCUUUUUUUUUCCAGCGAAUGCUUAGACCGUUCAUCUAACCGGCGUCGAAAUCUCCAUCUAUAAUACGUGAAGCCAUUGUUUCCGGCGAUACCUGUUAAAACCCGGCGGCGAUGGUGUCUUUCAUCUAUUUUCUGUGAUAUGGCUAACUCAGCAACUCUCUUUUUCUGUUUGUGAUCGAAGAUGGCGGAAAGCUUUCACCUAUAGCUGUUGCUUUCACCGAUGAGCAGACCAAGAGUUUUACGAAGCUUUCUGUCUCCUCGACAAAGACUCAGAGGGUAUGUCGUUGUUUACUUUGGUCUUACUCAAAAUACAACCUUCUAUACGAACAGACCAUGGAACUGAUGAUAAGAUGGAUUAGCUGAUAUUUAUAUAUGCUGUUCGUGAGAAACCAAAGAAAGUGAUGAAAUCGAUGUGGAAGAAUUGAAAUGCAGAACUUUGGGAGAUGAUGAUCGUCAUCUACGUUUGAUGGCAAUGGAGACAUCUAUAUAAUGGCCCAAAACACCUCUCAGGGAAGCUUGAAGAUCAUCAGCCACCAUCCCUACUUCAAAUGGAUAUACAAAACAUAGACAUAUUUUUAGAUUAGUCUUCGAUAGGUGCAUAAGGAGGUGGUACGGUGAGAGAUCAGCUGGAGAAGAAAGAGCGAGAUCCAGGAUUGUAGAGUCAGAGUGAAAGGAGACGGAGCCAGAGAUUCACGACACACAAGCAGCUUGCGAGAUCAAUUUCUCAAGACAACUAAUUUACGACUUAGAGACUUUGGACUGAAAUUUGGAGUGAAGACCAGAUCUCCAAUCAAAAUCAGUGGUUAUAUUAUCCUGUCGUCAAUACUUCCAAAAAUGGAUUUAACUUCUUCUUAUGAUCAGAACGAUGCUUGACAAUGAGAUUCAAGGAGAAGAAGCUCCGGAACCUUCUCUUGCUGGAAAGAGAAGAAAAGAAACUGAAAGACCAAGCUCUGCUCUUCCACAAAAACCAAGGUAAUCAAUUGCUCAUAGAGCAAAAGUAUGGGAAUUCUUUAUCCAAAAAGAAGAUGAUCGUGCACAAUGCAAUUGUUGUUUCUGCAAAAUUGCAGGAACUGAAAGUAGCACCUGAAACACGUACGUGUUCUCCACGUGAAAUUACUAAGUGUAUCUUGGUUCCUUUUUGUAUUUAAUUCAGCUUGAGUUACAAUUUGUGUUUGUUUAAGAUUUUUAUUGCAAGUUGUUUUCUCUUCUCUGUUAUUGUUGUAAACUUGUGAUGUCAGCAUCUUUCAUCAAUAAGUUAGUACAACGUGGGUUCGAAA